GAUGAAGAACGUAGCGAAAUGCGAUAAGUAAUGUGAAUUGCAGAAUUCAGUGAAUCAUCGAAUCUCCGCACCCACCUUGCGCUCUUUGGUAUUCCGAAGAGCAUGCCUGUUUGAGUGUCAUGAAAAUAUCAACCUUGACUUGGGUUUUGUGCUCUAGUCUCGGCUUGGAAUUGGGUGCUUGCCGCUUUUACGAGCGGCUCACCUUAAAUGUAUUAGCUGGAUCUGUCUUUGAGACUUGGUUUGACUUGGCGUAAUAAGUAUUUCGCUAAGGACAUUCUUCGGAGUGGCCUCGUUUCUAGGACGCUUGUCCGCUUUCCAAUACAAGUUCCACCUCGUGGACAUGACUUUUUAUUAUCUGGCCUCAAAUCAGGUAGGACUACCCGCUGAACUUAAGCAUAUCAAUAAGCGGAGGA
rnacentral:misc_RNA from 1 species